AGUGAACGCUGGCGGUAGGCCUAACACAUGCAAGUCGAACGGCAGCACAGUAAGAGCUUGCUCUUACGGGUGGCGAGUGGCGGACGGGUGAGGAAUACAUCGGAAUCUACUUUUUCGUGGGGGAUAACGUAGGGAAACUUACGCUAAUACCGCAUACGACCUACGGGUGAAAGCAGGGGAUCUUCGGACCUUGCGCGAUUGAAUGAGCCGAUGUCGGAUUAGCUAGUUGGCGGGGUAAAGGCCCACCAAGGCGACGAUCCGUAGCUGGUCUGAGAGGAUGAUCAGCCAACCGGGAACUGAGACACGGUCCAGACCCCUAAGGGAGGCAGCAGGGGGGAAUAUUGGACAAGGGGCGCAAGCCUGAUCCAGCCAUCCCGGGUGGGUGAAGAAGGCCUUCGGGUUGUAAAGCCCUUUUGUUGGGAAAGAAAAGCAGCAGGUUAAUACCCCGCUGUUCUGACGGUACCCAAAGAAUAAGCACCGGCUAACUUCGU
rnacentral:rRNA from 1 species